rnacentral:rRNA from 1 species
GAUGAACGCUGGCGGCGUGUCUAAGGCAUGCAAGUCGAGUGGACCAAAGAGAGCUUGCUCUCUGAGGUUAGCGGCGGACGGGUGAGUAACACGUGGGUAACCUGCCUGUAAGACGGGGAUAACUUCGGGAAACCGAAGCUAAUACCGGAUGAUAAAGAGAAACGCCUGUUUCUUUUUUGAAAGUCGGCCUUGUGCUGACGCUUACAGAUGGGCCCGCGGCGCAUUAGCUAGUUGGUGAGGUAACGGCUCACCAAGGCGACGAUGCGUAGCCGACCUGAGAGGGUGAUCGGCCACACUGGGACUGAGACACGGCCCAGACUCCUACGGGAGGCAGUAGUAGGGAAUCUUCGGCAAUGGACGAAAGUCUGACCGAGCAACGCCGCGUGAGCGAUGAAGGCCUUCGGGUCGUAAAGCUCUGUUGUCAGAGAAGAACAAGUACCGGAGUAACUGCCGGUACCUUGACGGUACCUGACCAGAAAGCCACGGCUAACUACGUGCCAGCCGCCGCCGUAA